rnacentral:lncRNA from 1 species
AUGCCAAGUUUCUGUGGCAAAGGGCCAGAGAGCUGUGGUCAUGACCAAAGAGAUCUACUAAUGAGCAUCCCUUACAGAAGUUUCCAAGUUGAAAGAAGAAUUGGAUUGCUUUUAGGAGAACAAUGUGCUACUGAAAGAAAGUUGUAUUUAAUACUAUAAAACUCAAUAGUGAAACUGGGUAAAAUAAAAAUUUAUACUUAUUUAGCGUUCAGAAUUUGUCAGUAUUUGUUAGACUUAGCAAAGGUUUUUUUUUUUUUUUUUUUUCCUUCUAUCCAAAACUAUUUAUAUUCUUUAGGACACAUGGCAUAAAACCCAUAUUUCUAAAUACAUCUUCAUCAAGUCUCAACAGCUUAUUUAGGACUGCUCCAAUUACAUACUUCUGCAUACUAAAUUACUCCAAAAUUUAGCACCCUAAAGUAACAAUCAUUUUAUUUUACUCACAAGUCUGAGUGUCAGAAACUUGAGAGUGGUUCACCUCUGCCUCAAAGUUUGAAGAACUUUACUUGGGAUAGGUCAAACAGCUGUGCACCAGCUAGAUUGCUGCUUUGGGGUCAUAGGAGUAUGACCUUAGUUCUUGCGGUUGGCUAAUGUCUCACACUUCCUUGGCCUUAAAUGAUGGCUAUGCUAGCUAGAAGAGCCAAGAAGGCUUUUCUCCCAUGCCUGGUAACUUCAUGGUUUUCCAAGUGGCCACUGUCUCACUGUGUUAACUAAGGUGGGCUGCUCACAGCAUGACAGUCUCAGGGUAGUUGGAUAUCGCACAUGGUGACUGCUUUCCAGGAGUGAGAAAGCAGAUGCCACAAUCCUGUUAAAGAUUAGGCUGGAACUGGCAUAAUGUCACUUUUGUCAAAUUCUGCAGAUACAACCAGCUUCAGUGCAUAGAGAAAAUAUCUCCACCUCUGGAUGGUUGGGAUAGUCAGGAAUUUGCAGCCAUCUUUAGUCUGCCACAGUAACCACUCCUGAUUAUUUCCUUAGAAGCAUAAUAUUUGUUUGGAUUUUGUCAACUAUGUGGAUAUCUGCUCUUUUUUAGUUAUUGGCAAGUUUAAAUUUCCAGAUUUUUCCAAGGUGGUAUUAAACCAGAAAUAGGGCACAACUAAUAUUUAGAAGGCCACUCACAUGUCUUGUUUUUUUAUAAAAUUUCCAACAACAGUUCAAUAUAGGCAUUGGAAUGUAAAGGGCUUUCUGUAUCAGAAACUGGUACUUUGACCUCUAAUCUGAGGCCAUCUCUUUGGAAAGAUUGUAGAGCCUUGCUGUUAAUGGAUAAAGAGUUAAUCUUGUAGAAACCCAGAAUAUUAGUUUGUGGGGGCAUGUGAUAAAAAGAUAGUACAGACUGGGUGGCUUAAACAUUGGAAAUUUAUUUUCUCAUAAUUCUGAGAGCUAAAAUCCUAAAAUCAAGGUCAGUAGGAUCGAUUUCUUCUGAGUGACAUGAGGGAAGAAUUUAUAGCAGACUUGUAGAUAGGUGUCCUCUUUCUGUGAUACAAUGUUAUUUUCUUUACAUGUCUUUGUCAAAAUUUCUUCUUCCUAUAUGGAUACACCAGUCAUAUUGAAUUAGGGUCCACCCUAAUGACCUCUUUUAAUUUGAUUAUCUCUUUAACUUAGUUAUCUCUAAAUACAGUCAAUUCUGUACUGGUACUGGGGCUUAGGAUUUCAACAGAAUAAUUUUUAGGGGGACAGCAUUCAACUCACAAUAUUCAGAUAUACUGCACUAUUUCUUCCAAGACCCCAUGUCCAUACCUAGCACUUCAACCAUAAAUUGGCUAUGUAUCAUGAGAGAGAAAGAGAGAGAGAGAGAGAAUUUAAAUUAUAUGCCUUAGUAACAUACCUCACCAAACUGGAUUAAAUCUUAACCAAUCACUUUACCAGAGCUAUUCAUUUCUAAAGCAUUGCUCUUUGUUAUGAAGACUGUCUUUUCUACAUGAGCCACUUAUAGUAUAUUGCCAAGGGUUGGUUGGUUGGUUGGUUUUUAAUUUUCUGGGCUUAUUUGCCAGAUAAGGAUAACAUAUCCUAUACGGGGCAAAUCAUUUGUUUUCAUAUUAUAAAGUGACUCAGCUGUGCUUCAUUGCACACUGAAAGUAUUGCCUGACAAGUGACUGUCCAAAACUCAUCAAGCUGUUUGUCAGGAUCACAGAGGAUGCUCAUGGCACAUGCAAGCUGACUUAUGCGCAGUAAGCUUGCCUUGCCAGCUUACUGUCCAACCUCUCAUAGUUCUUGACACAAGGAAAAAUCAGAACGAUACAGAGAAUUAAAGGAUAAUGGACCUGAAAUGAUGUUGAGCAUCUUAGAGACUUUGGCAGCAUAUAACCAUACUCUUGUGUUGAAUAUUGUAAUGAGGGGCCUCUGAGGAUACUAUGUGAAAGAGAAAGAUGCUUUAGUGAGUCUUUAGAAAAACCCAUUGUUGUAAAGAGUGUAAAAUAAAUUGGGCAAAGUUUUAUAAAAUAAGUUUCCCAGGUUUUUUUAAGUUUAUAUUUUAAUUCCAGUUACUUACCACACAGUGUUAUAUCAGUUUCAAGUGUAUGAUAUAGUGAUUCAACAAUUCCAUACAUCACUGGGUGCUCAUCGCAGCAAGUGCCCUCCUUAAUCCCCAUCACUUAUCUGACCCAUCUUCCCACCCACUACCUUCUGGUAGCCAUCCUCUGUAGUUAAGGAUCUGUUUCUUGGUUUGCCUCCCUCUUACUUAUCUCCUCUUUGCUUGU